rnacentral:piRNA from 1 species
UUAGGUCUUAGUUGUUGGUCUUGUCUAA